rnacentral:rRNA from 1 species
UUAAGCGACUAAGCGUACACGGUGGAUGCCCUGGCAGUCAGAGGCGAUGAAGGACGUGCUAAUCUGCGAUAAGCGUCGGUGAGGUGAUAUGAACCGUUAUAACCGGCGAUUUCCGAAUGGGGAAACCCAGUGUGUUUCGACACACUAUCAUUAACUGAAUCCAUAGGUUAAUGAGGCGAACCGGGGGAACUGAAACAUCUAAGUACCCCGAGGAAAAGAAAUCAACCGAGAUUCCCCCAGUAGCGGCGAGCGAACGGGGAGGAGCCCAGAGCCUGAAUCAGUGUGUGUGUUAGUGGAAGCGUCUGGAAAGGCGCGCGAUACAGGGUGACAGCCCCGUACACAAAAAUGCACAUACUGUGAGCUCGAUGAGUAGGGCGGGACACGUGGUAUCCUGUCUGAAUAUGGGGGGACCAUCCUCCAAGGCUAAAUACUCCUGACUGACCGAUAGUGAACCAGUACCGUGAGGGAAAGGCGAAAAGAACCCCGGCGAGGGGAGUGAAAAAGAACCUGAAACCGUGUACGUACAAGCAGUGGGAGCCUCUUAAUGGGGUGACUGCGUACCUUUUGUAUAAUGGGUCAGCGACUUAUAUUCUGUAGCAAGGUUAACCGAAUAGGGGAGCCGAAGGGAAACCGAGUCUUAACUGGGCGUUAAGUUGCAGGGUAUAGACCGAAACCCGGUGAUCUAGCCAUGGGCAGGUUGAAGAUUGGGUAACACUAACUGGAGGACCGAACCGACUAAUGUUGAAAAAUUAGCGGAUGACUUGUGGCUGGGGGUGAAAGGCCAAUCAAACCGGGAGAUAGCUGGUUCUCCCCGAAAGCUAUUUAGGUAGCGCCUCGUGAAUUCAUCUCCGGGGGUAGAGCACUGUUUCGGCAAGGGGGUCAUCCCGACUUACCAACCCGAUGCAAACUGCGAAUACCGGAGAAUGUUAUCACGGGAGACACACGGCGGGUGCUAACGUCCGUCGUGAAGAGGGAAACAACCCAGACCGCCAGCUAAGGUCCCAAAGUCAUGGUUAAGUGGGAAACGAUGUGGGAAGGCCCAGACAGCCAGGAUGUUGGCUUAGAAGCAGCCAUCAUUUAAAGAAAGCGUAAUAGCUCACUGGUCGAGUCGGCCUGCGCGGAAGAUGUAACGGGGCUAAACCAUGCACCGAAGCUGCGGCAGCGACACUAUGUGUUGUUGGGUAGGGGAGCGUUCUGUAAGCCUGUGAAGGUGGCCUGUGAGGGUUGCUGGAGGUAUCAGAAGUGCGAAUGCUGACAUAAGUAACGAUAAAGCGGGUGAAAAGCCCGCUCGCCGGAAGACCAAGGGUUCCUGUCCAACGUUAAUCGGGGCAGGGUGAGUCGACCCCUAAGGCGAGGCCGAAAGGCGUAGUCGAUGGGAAACAGGUUAAUAUUCCUGUACUUGGUGUUACUGCGAAGGGGGGACGGAGAAGGCUAUGUUGGCCGGGCGACGGUUGUCCCGGUUUAAGCGUGUAGGCUGGUUUUCCAGGCAAAUCCGGAAAAUCAAGGCUGAGGCGUGAUGACGAGGCACUACGGUGCUGAAGCGACAAAUGCCCUGCUUCCAGGAAAAGCCUCUAAGCAUCAGGUAACAUCAAAUCGUACCCCAAACCGACACAGGUGGUCAGGUAGAGAAUACCAAGGCGCUUGAGAGAACUCGGGUGAAGGAACUAGGCAAAAUGGUGCCGUAACUUCGGGAGAAGGCACGCUGAUAUGUAGGUGAAGCGACUUGCUCGUGGAGCUGAAAUCAGUCGAAGAUACCAGCUGGCUGCAACUGUUUAUUAAAAACACAGCACUGUGCAAACACGAAAGUGGACGUAUACGGUGUGACGCCUGCCCGGUGCCGGAAGGUUAAUUGAUGGGGUUAGCGGUAACGCGAAGCUCUUGAUCGAAGCCCCGGUAAACGGCGGCCGUAACUAUAACGGUCCUAAGGUAGCGAAAUUCCUUGUCGGGUAAGUUCCGACCUGCACGAAUGGCGUAAUGAUGGCCAGGCUGUCUCCACCCGAGACUCAGUGAAAUUGAACUCGCUGUGAAGAUGCAGUGUACCCGCGGCAAGACGGAAAGACCCCGUGAACCUUUACUAUAGCUUGACACUGAACAUUGAGCCUUGAUGUGUAGGAUAGGUGGGAGGCUUUGAAGUGUGGACGCCAGUCUGCAUGGAGCCGGCCUUGAAAUACCACCCUUUAAUGUUUGAUGUUCUAACGUGGGCCCCUUACCGGGGUUGCGGACAGUGUCUGGUGGGUAGUUUGACUGGGGCGGUCUCCUCCUAAAGAGUAACGGAGGAGCACGAAGGUUGGCUAAUCCUGGUCGGACAUCAGGAGGUUAGUGCAAUGGCAUAAGCCAGCUUGACUGCGAGCGUGACGGCGCGAGCAGGUGCGAAAGCAGGUCAUAGUGAUCCGGUGGUUCUGAAUGGAAGGGCCAUCGCUCAACGGAUAAAAGGUACUCCGGGGAUAACAGGCUGAUACCGCCCAAGAGUUCAUAUCGACGGCGGUGUUUGGCACCUCGAUGUCGGCUCAUCACAUCCUGGGGCUGAAGUAGGUCCCAAGGGUAUGGCUGUUCGCCAUUUAAAGUGGUACGCGAGCUGGGUUUAGAACGUCGUGAGACAGUUCGGUCCCUAUCUGCCGUGGGCGCUGGAGAACUGAGGGGGGCUGCUCCUAGUACGAGAGGACCGGAGUGGACGCAUCACUGGUGUUCGGGUUGUCAUGCCAAUGGCACUGCCCGGUAGCUAAAUGCGGAAGAGAUAAGUGCUGAAAGCAUCUAAGCACGAAACUUGCCCCGAGAUGAGUUCUCCCUGACCCUUUAAGGGUCCUGAAGGAACGUUGAAGACGACGACGUUGAUAGGCCGGGUGUGUAAGCGCAGCGAUGCGUUGAGCUAACCGGUACUAAUGAACCGUGAGGCUUAACCUU